rnacentral:rRNA from 1 species
UACGUAGGGUGCAAGCGUUGUCCGGAAUUACUGGGCGUAAAGCGUGUGUAGGCGGUUUGUUAAGUCUGCUGUGAAAUCCCCGAGCUCAACUUGGGAAUUGCAGUGGAUACUGGCAGGCUGGAGUAUGGUAGAGGCAGGUGGAAUUCCCGGUGUAGUGGUGAAAUGCGUAGAGAUCGGGAGGAACACCCGUGGCGAAGGCGGCCUGCUGGGCCGGUCCUGACGCUGAUGCGCGAAGGCGUGGGGAGCGAACGGG